UACGAAGGGGGCUAGCGUUGCUCGGAAUCACUGGGCGUAAAGCGCACGUAGGCGGAUCUUUAAGUCAGGGGUGAAAUCCUGGAGCUCAACUCCAGAACUGCCUUUGAUACUGAGGAUCUUGAGUACGGGAGAGGUGAGUGGAACUGCGAGUGUAGAGGUGAAAUUCGUAGAUAUUCGCAAGAACACCAGUGGCGAAGGCGGCUCACUGGCCCGUAACUGACGCUGAGGCACGAAAGCGUGGGGAGCAAACAGGG
rnacentral:rRNA from 1 species